GCCUAGUUAGCUCAGUUGGUAGUGCGUCCGCCUUGUAAGCGCUAGGUCGCGGGUUCGAUUCCCG
rnacentral:tRNA from 1 species